ensembl:lncRNA
AGGGAGACACUGAAGGAAGGAAGAGAAAGAGGAACACUGAAGGAAGGAGAGAAGAGGGAGACACUGAAGGAAGGAGAGAAGAGGGGGACACUGAAGGAAGGAGAGAAGAGGGAGACACUGAAGGAAGGAGAGAAGAGGGGGACACUGAAGGAAGGAGAGAAGAAGGGGGACACUGAAGGGAGGCGAGAGGAGGGGGCACUGAAGGGAGGCGAGAGGAGGGGGACACUGAAGGAAGGAGAGAAGAGGGGGACACUGAAGGGAGGCGAGAGGAGGGGGACACUGAAGGGAGGCGAGAGGAGGGGGACACUGAAGGAAGGAGAGAAGAGGGGGACAGUAAAUGGAGGACAGAAGAGGAGGACAGUAAAGGGAGGAGAGAAGAGGGAGACACUGAAGAGAGGCGAGAGGAGGGGGACACUGAAGGAAGGAGAGAAGAGGGGGACAGUAAAUGGAGGACAGAAGAGGAGGACAGUAAAGGGAGGAGAGAAGAGGGAGACACUGAAGGGAGGAGAGAAGAGGAGGACACUGAAGGGAGGAGAGAAGACCGGGACAAUGUCAACAGUGAAGCAACAUCCUUUGACCAAAUACCCCCCCACUCUCUUGAUUCGCUUGAGACAGAGAAGAGACGUGAAGAAAGAGAUGCUACAUUUGUGGAUGAUAACAGGGCGGACCUCAUUCAGAGGGUUACCACGGUGAAACUCAUAGCAGAAACACUUCUCCAGUGGCGUAUGAUCCACAAAGAGGCGUACCUUAAGAUCCUUGCUGCCCAGACCACACCAGAUCAGAUGAGGGAGCUGUACAACGUCUUAAACACAGACAAAGUCAAAUCAGCCUUCUAUAGGCUCCUUCAGAAGGAAGAGCCUUAUUUGGUCCAGGUGCCAGGUAGGUUAUACGGUCUGAUGUACCACGGCUGUCAUCCAAUCAGAAUUAAGGGCUCGAACCACCCAUUUUAUGUCUGAUAUACCACAGCUUUUAACCAAUCAGCAUCCAGAACCCAAACCACCCAGUUUAUAACAACGAUAAUAUUAUAAUACAUGAAGGCACAAUUUAUAGUACAAUAUGUACGUGUGUUUUGUAAAUUGUGCACAGUAUUUAGCAAUAAUAAUUAACCAGUUGUGAUGUGUGAUGUGUAAUGUGUAAUGUGUGAGUGUGAGUGUGUGUGUGUGUGUGUGUGUGUGUGUGUGUGUGUGUGUGUGUGUGUGUGUGUGUGAGUGUGAGUGUGUGUGUG